UUAAAAGGAGUAUUUUAAUACAUCAGCUUUGGGUGUUGGGGAAUAGUGAUAACUACUUUUAAA
rnacentral:tRNA from 1 species